ensembl:lncRNA
CUAGCACAAGAUCUCUAUGAUCAGGGAACUUCCCACUGGAAUAAUGGAAAAACCUCCAUACCUAAGUGUCUGUAUGUUAAGAUUGAAGGAACUAUGACUGUAUACUCUCAUCUAAUGUCUCUUCUCGUUUUCAGAUAUUACUCCAUCUCCUUCAGUCUACAGGCUGACCUCUAAAGAUAAUGAGGAUUUGGAAAUGUGCCUUAUCACAGAUUACUCCCCUGAAACUCUUAACUCAACUAAUAAUGAGACAAAUGCUAUUGUGGAAGUGGCAACAUCUGAGAACAAACAGGAAGCAAGCUACUUGUCAACCUACUGGGCCAAGAAAGAUGAAAUGCAGUGUGGUGCAAAUGAUAAGGACUUUGGAAAACUGGAGGGCGAGGAUCCUGAAAGUGGUGCCAGCGCUAUCUGUGUUACAGGGGUGUCUCUACACUUCAGGACAGAUGAAAACCUGAACAUGUUGUCUUUAUCACACCUGGGUCUGAAAAUUAUUUUAAUGAAAGGAAUAAUUUUUAAUGUGCUGAUGACGAUGCUUAUGUGGAAAAAAAAGGAAUGAAAGUAGCCAGACGGCGCAGUCCUCAAGUACCAGAAAUGUCUGCUGAGGAAUCUUUACCAGCAUCGUGUGCAAGAAGGAGCACAGGCGUUCCUGUUGCAAGGGAUAUCACUUGCUGUUUCUGUAUAUCACACCAGCCAUUAUAGUCUAAAUGCUUUAUUUGCAUUGUUAUAAAGCUACUCAAAAAUAAGCUUAACAUUUUCAGCAUUCUGCUCCCCCCGGAUGCCUGAUUCAUUUAGUAUGACAACACCCCUCUUUGCAUGAAGCAUAGUUUGCUAUAGCUAUAAAUUGCCAAUCAUCACUAUUACUUGCAUUAAAAUAACACACAAUUUCUGCUUGGGGCAGUGACGUUUGUCGAAAACUGCAAACUAAAUAGCACUUGAAUGUGAAUUUUUCAUAGUCUGGUAGCUUUCAGGUAUGCACAUCUUAGAGUGCACCCCUAGACAUGCCAUCUCAGUUGCAAACGAAACACUCCUAAUAGCAAAGGGAGACUUUUUCAGGGAGCUGUGCUCCAUGUCCUGAUGUCUUUUGCUAGAUUAGAGCAAGGUAUCUUAUUUUUUUUCUCCUAAAAAUAUAUUUUUCUCCCAGAAGUCCUGAAUUCAGUGAAAUUCUCACUUCAUUAUCACAGAAAAAAAGGAUGGGUUUCAGUAUUUUUUGAAGUCUAUCUGGCCUCAACAUUUUCUGAAUUAAGAUUUGGCUUUGUGUUUAGUAAAAAUAUAAUCUACUUUUGUUCUUUUUGUUUAGUUCUAGCAACCUUAGAUUUCUCAUUUUCUUUUUAUUAUCGUUUCUUAAAACAAUACUGGAAUAUUUACCUGUCCAUGUCUGCACUCCUUGGAAACAGUGCAUACGUGUGAAAUUUGCUCACGCUAAUUCUUGAAUUGUGCUGGCAAGCACACUGAUGGCUUGGCAUUUCUUUUGGCCUUUGGCUGCUAUUAAACAAUUCUUAUAAAAAAUAAGAAGCUUGUUUGUCUUUUGUAUCUAUAGUCUGCGGAACUUGUUUUAC